UGGGCGAAGAAACCGGAAGUGGUCUCUCUGGCGUUGGGGAUGCUGGGAGAUGUAGUCCCAAUCGGCCUGAGACCCGCCUUCCUCUCGCCACCCGGCUAGCGAGCGCUUACUUUUUGGGGCGGUCACUUGCCCACUCCCUUAUUCGUCCGCUUGGCUUCCUCGAGUUCGCUUCCAGACCCAGACUUUCAAACCUCAAGUAACAAACCUCGCGUGUCGCCUCCUGCCGGGUUCUGGUGUUUGCCACUUUCUACAGGUUCAAGAUUUAGUGUGCACGGCUGUAUGCACAAGUGGACGUGGGGAGGAGGAGAAAUCUGGCCGGCUACAGCCCACCUCGUGACUACAUUGUCGUUGUUCUGUCCCAGUCCAAGCCCUCCUAGACCGUGAUUCUCCCCUCCCCGCCCCCCUGUGCUCAGGAAAGGAUGUGCUCCUUAGCAGCAGAGAGCCGGGGCAGCUCCAGAGGUGGGCAGGGGUGGACCGCGGAAGCGCUCCCAGAGGUGUGUCUCGAGUCCUUGGUGGAGUGAGGAUGGAGAUGAGCAGCGGUGACUCUGCUAAGGUCCUACCAACCGUCCCCUUUUCAGCCUGCGUCCGGGAAGUCGGGCACUUGCGACUCCUGCUCACUAUCCCGCAGCGGCUCCUGCUACCUUUCCCAGUGGGGCCCUGGCCUGGCGGUUAAGGACUUCGCUCUUCUCUGCAGAGUCAUCUGGCCCAGAAAAUGCUCUUUAAUAUGUCUGUCCUCUUGCUGAAAAUGAAUCCAGAGAAGGGCCCGGAAUUAGAUAAAAGUAGCCAAGAGGAACCCGAGGCAGACUGACUCAGCAAGGAAGAUAGAAAGUACAAAGAGUGCUGAACAAGAUAACCACCUUGUGCAUGACCUUGUCUUUGCAGAAAAGUAUCCAUUGUUGCAAGCAGAGAGCAUAGCCAUGUGUGUUCUCUCGAGAUAGCCAAUUGCUAACAGCUACGUCUGCUUCUGUAUUUGCUUGCUUGCUCACCCCAAUAAAAACCCUAGGCUGUAAGCACCAGGCGAGACUCUCAUUUGCAGCCUCUUGGCACCGUGUCUCCGGACACCCCGAGAGUUCGCCCCUGCGCAGGUAAAACUUUGGCCA